GACGAACGCUGGCGGCGUGCUUAACACAUGCAAGUCGAACGGAAAGGCCCUGCUUUUGUGGGGUGCUCGAGUGGCGAACGGGUGUGUAACACGUGAGUAACCUGCCCUUGACUUUGGGAUAACUUCAGGAAACUGGGGCUAAUACCGGAUAGGAGCUCCUGCUGCAUGGUGGGGGUUGGAAAGUUUCGGCGGUUGGGGAUGGACUCGCGGCUUAUCAGCUUGUUGGUGGGGUAGUGGCUUACCAAGGCUUUGACGGGUAGCCGGCCUGAGAGGGUGACCGGCCACAUUGGGACUGAGAUACGGCCCAGACUCCUACGGGAGGCAGCAGUGGGGAAUAUUGCAUAAUGGGCGGAAGCCUGAUGCAGCAACGCCGCGUGCGGGAUGACGGCCUUCGGGUUGUAAACCGCUUUCGCCUGUGACGAAGCGUGAGUGACGGUAAUGGGUAAAGAAGCACCGGCUAACUACGUG
rnacentral:rRNA from 1 species